rnacentral:rRNA from 1 species
AUUGAACGCUGGCGGCAUGCUUUACACAUGCAAGUCGAACGGCAGCGCGGGCUUCGGCCUGGCGGCGAGUGGCGAACGGGUGAGUAAUGCAUCGGAACGUGCCCAGUAGUGGGGGAUAGCCCGGCGAAAGCCGGAUUAAUACCGCAUACGACCUGAGGGUGAAAGCGGGGGACCGAAAGGCCUCGCGCUAUUGGAGCGGCUGAUGUCGGAUUAGCUAGUUGGUGGGGUAAAGGCUUACCAAGGCGACGAUCCGUAGCUGGUCUGAGAGGACGACCAGCCACACUGGGACUGAGACACGGCCCAGACUCCUACGGGAGGCAGCAGUGGGGAAUUUUGGACAAUGGGGGCAACCCUGAUCCAGCCAUGCCGCGUGCGGGAAGAAGGCCUUCGGGUUGUAAACCGCUUUUGUUCGGGAAGAAAUCCUCUGGGCUAAUACCCCGGGGGGAUGACGGUACCGGAAGAAUAAGCACCGGCUAACUACGUG